rnacentral:lncRNA from 1 species
GAGUGGAAUUAUGAAGAUCAGGCUGAACCAAGUACACAUCUGGAUCAGGUGACAUCUUUUCUUUUCUUCCUCUUUGUCUGUCAUAUUUUAUUUUUUUUACUCUAUUAAGGACAAUAUCGAUUAAGUUGGAGGGAGAAAAAAAUAAAAAAAAAUUAAGUUCUUGAAUAAGUUAGUAGUUAGUGUUUAGGCACCCGAUUAUGCUUAAGAAUCAAGUUGAACCAAGUAUUUUUUUUAAAAAAAAUUAAUACACAGAUCAGAGAGUUUGUGAGAUA